rnacentral:pre_miRNA from 1 species
GUCACCUGGGGAUCUUGUUAAAAUGCAGACACUGAUUCAGCAGGUCUGGGAUGAAGCCUGAGAUUUUGCAUUUCUAACAGGUUCUCCAGUGAUGCUGC